CGCUUAUUUGUCUGUAAUUUCAAUAUUAGUCUAAUUUAAAUCUGAUUGAAUCUAGACCGUUCAUUGUUUUUGGGCAGUGUGAUAAGAAAUCAGUCCGUCCAUAUUUUGUAAUCUUAUUCUCUCUGCUGAUCAUCAUUCUUCCUCUCGCUCUCUCAACAUCCCGAAAACCCCCAACCCCAGCCACGAACCCAGGUACACCCAAAACAAUCACCAUUCUCAUCCCUUCGACCUCACGAACUCAAGUCUGAGCCCAUUCUUACUUUCUAGGUCAAGAUUUUGUGGCUUUCAUGUACGAUUUGGUGAAGGUUUGAAAAAGAUUGAAGCUCAAUCCGUUACCUAGAUUCCGGCGAGGUUUUCCGGCAAAUCCGCUAGCUUCCCUGUAUUUUUUGAGGCCCUCACAGUCAUCCAAUCACCAAAUCUUAGGUAUGUUUUGAUUCUUUAAAAUUCUAAAAUUUUGACAAUCGUUAUUUAAUUCAUCAAAUUUUGCACUAUAAAUGAUGUAAGAGUUAGUCUUCAGGGGUUUAAGAGAAGGGUGGUUUUACAUGAGUUUACAUCUGAAUCCGACCGCCUCUUAUUUCCCCCUUCACUUUCACGGUUCCACCCCAACAUCAUCGAUCUGUGUUCGUGUAGGUCAUUUCAAAGGGAUUUCAAGCUGGGUAGCAGAGAUUUGAUUCAAAUUUGUGGAUUUGGGAUGGUAACAACCCCCCGGCGGCUAAUCGCUGUACAUCACACGCCGACUUACCACCAGUGCAUCCGCGUCGUUUCGGAUAACUGUAUUUACGGAAGGUAAGCAAUUUAUUCUACUUUAGAUUUCAAAGAUUUUUGUGCAAAUUAAAGUUAUCUUCUGGGGAUUGUUCUGGAGAUGCAAGAUUUGAAGUAAGAUUUGAAGUAAGAGAGAGAGAAAUAGGGAAAUUAAUAAAGAAAAGAAAGCACAUAGGUAAAACCCCAACAAGAUUAUGUACAGAGGUAAUUGCGAAAUAUUUAGUGGUGCGGCAAAUAUUUCUUGGCUAAAUUGGGAGAGUUAUAUUUUAUUUAAGUUUUUAUUUUUAUUUUUAUAGCUUUUGGUAAAGAUUAAGUUUAUGGUAUUUUUGAUCUUCAGAGGCCUAGAGGCUGAUGAGAGCCUAUUACCAAUCUGCUACUACUCUAAACCUUUUCAGGGCGUUUGCCUUUAUAAGUGACUAAGCAGAGGGUCACGUAGCAGAACUUGGAUUUCAUAGAUCACAGAGAGCAGGGUGAUAGUUCAUCGUUGUCAUCCAAGAUGGAGGAGUUACGUAUAUGGGUGUCUUUAGUAGAACAAAUCUUACUUUUUGAGCUUUGUACAGUUUUAGACGUAAAAGUCUCCUUGGGAUAGGACCAUAGCUUUUGAAAAACAAUCCCUAAGGAUGACAUACUAACAUCCUCAACUUUUUACAUGUAAUAUAUGAAUGUAAAUAGAACUCUCUGGCUAUGGCGUACGACCAUCCCAAUUUUUCUCAUGUAUAUAAGCCCUACUUUUUACACGUUUAAGAUCAUUUUGAAACCCGCAGCAUCACGCGGGCCUCA